CACACUUCACAGAAGUUACAUUGCCAGGUGUGACAUCAGCACAGACCAAACAAACGCCGAGCUUUAGGGAGGAGACGCAAGUCAGACUCCUAUGGCACCUGUUUGACAAUCUCUGGACUUUAACACUCGGGAUCUGAGACAGACUCUGUACUGUAGAAGAAGAGCUUAAAAAACAGGACAAAACUGCAAAGAUCUCUUGGGUUACGAAACGCCUCUAACGUUUGUUGGCUUCAGACCGCAGCAAACACCUGCACACUUUCCCAGGUAAGACACAAACAAUCAAACAUAAUUUUUAAGCUUUACACUGGGGGAAAACA
rnacentral:lncRNA from 1 species